rnacentral:rRNA from 1 species
GACAGAGGGGGCAAGCGUUGCUCGGAAUUACUGGGCGUAAAGGGCGCGUAGGCGGGAUGGCAAGUCGGUCGUGAAAUCCCUCGGCUCAACUGAGGAGCGUCGAUCGAAACUGCCGUUCUUGAGGGUUGCAGAGGAGACUGGAAUUCCCGGUGUAGCGGUGAAAUGUGUAGAGAUCGGGAGGAACACCGGUGGCGAAGGCGGGUCUCUGGGCAACUCCUGACGCUGAGGCACGAAGGCCAGGGGAGCAAACGGG